UCGCUGUUGUGGAAAACCUCACUUUCUAGGGAUGACAUUGGCGCCCCCUGCUUUAAACUGAAAAAUCCUGUCAGUAAAGGAGCCUGGAGGGAUGGAUGAAAAUGUUCUUAGCAUGCCUUCCCAUCCCAACUGCACCAGCUUUCAGCAGCAUCUCCCAUCUGAUUGUCUCUGUCCUGUACGCUGCUGCUUGACAAGGAGCCCACAGAUAACUACGCACAUGUCUAGCUUCAGGUUAGUCUCCCUAUUCUAUUUUACGAAUAACUUUUCUCCUAUAAAAAGCAUUGCCUCAAUGAUAGAACAGAAAGGUGUAUUUUUUUUCAUUCUUAACUAUCCACAUGUGCUUCCAGAUCAUUCCUACUUUAAAUGGAAAAGGACUGGGCUGCAAAAGGAAAACUUUGGAUCUCAUUUAUCUCUUUACCCUUUGAUAAUAAUCCCUUUGGUCCCUGACUAUCACCAGCUAUAUAUUGAUGUAGCAAUAUGAUCACAUCAGUCACAUAGGUUU